UGUUGGCUUAGAAGCAGCCAUCAUUUAAAGAAAGCGUAAUAGCUCACUGGUCGAGUCGGCCUGCGCGGAAGAUGUAACGGGGCUAAACCAUGCACCGAAGCUGCGGCAGCGAACGUAUCACCCAAGACAACUUUACGGAGUUGACGAUUGACGGAGCGAAGCGACGUCAAAGCGUUCAUUAAAGUCGAGUUGGCUUAGGGAUACGUUCGUUGGGUAGGGGAGCGUUCUGUAAGCCUGUGAAGGUGGCCUGUGAGGGUUGCUGGAGGUAUCAGAAGUGCGAAUGCUGACAUAAGUAACGAUAAAGCGGGUGAAAAGCCCGCUCGCCGGAA
rnacentral:rRNA from 1 species